AACGAACGCUGGCGGCAUGCCUAACACAUGCAAGUCGAACGAGACCUUCGGGUCUAGUGGCGCACGGGUGCGUAACGCGUGGGAACCUGCCCUUAGGUUCGGAAUAACUCCCCGAAAGGGGUGCUAAUACCGGAUAAUGUCUUCGGACCAAAGAUUUAUCGCCUUUGGAUGGGCCCGCGUUGGAUUAGCUAGUUGGUAGGGUAAAAGCCUACCAAGGCGACGAUCCAUAGCUGGUCUGAGAGGAUGAUCAGCCACACUGGGACUGAGACACGGCCCAGACUCCUACGGGAGGCAGCAGUGGGGAAUAUUGGACAAUGGGCGAAAGCCGGAUCCAGCAAUGCCGCGUGAGUGAUGAAGGCCUUAGGGUUGUAAAGCUCUUUUACCCGGGAUGAUAAUGACAGUACCGGGAGAAUAAGCACCGGCUAACUCCGUG
rnacentral:rRNA from 1 species